AUGAGUGCAAAAUGUGCAUUCGCACUGACCAGAAAGAGCGAGAUGUAUGCAUACUCUGCAGCCCUACAAAGGUACCGUAAGCUAAGGAAUUUUAGUCACACAGCAUGUUUCAAGGCAUGCCACUCUGAUGAGGCGUUUCAGUAUCUAAAAAGGGUUUUGGAAGGACAAGAUGUUUGCAAGGGAUCAACAAGUGAACAAGCUGAUAGCAAGGGAUCAACUAAUGCUCAGGGUAACCGCAUUAGGUUUGGCCCGUUGAUGCCACAAUCGGCUAACCUUGAUGGUGAAGGUUUCGAAAAGGUUCUGGAUCCCGUGCAUGUGCCAGGCCGAGGAUCUCAAAGAAGAACUAUGAUAGCUACAACAUUAUGCGCACGGUCGGACAACAAGUACGCCGACGAUCAACCUGAUGUUGGCGUGUGCAUUAUCGUCUAUGUCUAG
rnacentral:rRNA from 1 species